AGUGAAGCUUCAGUGGUGACUUGCUGGGUAGAUUUGCCGCCAGCUCAUUUAACCGAGCUUGCCUGCACAUACCAGCAUUAAGGAGCCUAGGGCUUGCGAGGUGGGCUUUUCUGAGCUUCUGGGACGCGUUGGUCUACGCCUGCUCUCCUGCAUCUUCUCAUCUUGUCCUUGGAGAAUGAUUUUGGCUCAGACACGGCCCUGCACAGACAGGGACUGAGUGGUGUUUCAGGAAUCGUGCUGUCGCACCAAUGGAUCCACUGUCCUCUGAAACCGGGCCGCUGCUGCAGAAGUGCUGGGGCUGAGCAAAGCAGCCAUUUCUUGGCCAGGAGUUUGCUUUUGCUCGUGACAGCUCGCCUCUGGGUGAUGGCUGCCUUGAUGCUGUUUCCAUCCCAGCUGCAGUGUAGCAGGUGUGCUUGUGCUCCUGCCAGGCUGUGCCUGGGGCUGUGCUGCUUUUGCAUGGGAGAAGCAGAGAUUGAUGAUGGUUGUUCUUCCCUGGGCAUCGUUAUACUGGGCUGCUACAAACUGCUCUGCUUUGAUCUGCUUCAGGUCUUAGGCAGCUAUAUGUCUUUAGGAUAUAUUUAAACAUGGAUCAUCACUCCUGUUCUUUCUCUGUUUUAUUUUUUGCAUACUUCCUAGGAACAGGUGCAUGCUGCCACUUAGACUCAUUAGAGUCUCUUGGUGGAGGUAAUACCCUUCUGUUACUCUCCCCGCAGCACCUCAAAGCAAGCCAGAGUUCAAGCAAAUUCUCUUCCUUGCAUUGCAGUGUGUACGCAGGGGCUGCAAGUCCUGCUUUGCACUCUCCUUCCCCCGCUAUUGGUUUUGACAAUUUACUAGUGAUAAGAUGGUAAAUAAUUGAUGAGGUCACUUUUUCUGUGCAUACAGUGGGAACUAGUUAAAAAAAAUAAAGCCAGUUGUGUUUCUCC
ensembl:lncRNA